UGGGGAAUUUUGGACAAUGGGCGAAAGCCUGAUCCAGCAAUGCCGCGUGUGUGAAGAAGGCCUUCGGGUUGUAAAGCACUUUUGUCCGGAAAGAAAUCCUUGGCUCUAAUACAGUCGGGGGAUGACGGUACCGGAAGAAUAAGCACCGGCUAACUACGUGCCAGCAGCCGCGGUAAUACGUAGGGUGCAAGCGUUAAUCGGAAUUACUGGGCGUAAAGCGUGCGCAGGCGGUUUGCUAAGACCGAUGUGAAAUCCCCGGGCUCAACCUGGGAACUGCAUUGGUGACUGGCAGGCUAGAGUAUGGCAGAGGGGGGUAGAAUUCCACGUGUAGCAGUGAAAUGCGUAGAGAUGUGGAGGAAUACCGAUGGCGAAGGCAGCCCCCUGGGCCAAUACUGACGCUCAUGCACGAAAGCGUGGGGAGCAAACAGGAUUAGAUACCCUGGUAGUCCACGCCCUAAAACGAUGUCAACUAGUUGUUGGGGAUUCAUUUCCUUAGUAACGUAGCUAACGCAUGAAGUUGACCGCCUGGGGAGUACGGUCGCAAGAUUAAAACUCAAAGGAAUUGACGGGGUCAUAGCUGUUUCCU
rnacentral:rRNA from 1 species